AGGCCGAUGGCGACCGGCGCACGGGUGAGUAACACGUAUCCAACCUGCCGUCUACUCUUGGACAGCCUUCUGAAAGGAAGAUUAAUACAAGAUGGCAUCAUGAGUUCACAUGUUCACAUGAUUAAAGGUAUUCCGGUAGACGAUGGGGAUGCGUUCCAUUAGAUAGUAGGCGGGGUAACGGCCCACCUAGUCUUCGAUGGAUAGGGGUUCUGAGAGGAAGGUCCCCCACAUUGGAACUGAGACACGGUUCAAACUCCUACGGGAGGCAGCAGUGAGGAAUAUUGGUCAAUGGGCGCAGGCCUGAACCAGCCAAGUAGCGUGAAGGAUGACUGCCCUAUGGGUUGUAAACUUCUUUUAUAAAGGAAUAAAGUCGGGUAUGUAUACCCGUUUGCAUGUACUUUAUGAAUAAGGAUCGGCUAACUCCGUGCCAGCAGCCGCGGUAAUACGGAGGAUCCGAGCGUUAUCCGGAUUUAUUGGGUUUAAAGGGAGCGUAGAUGGAUGUUUAAGUCAGUUGUGAAAGUUUGCGGCUCAACCGUAAAAUUGCAGUUGAUACUGGAUAUCUUGAGUGCAGUUGAGGCAGGCGGAAUUCGUGGUGUAGCGGUGAAAUGCUUAGAUAUCACGAAGAACUCCGAUUGCGAAG
rnacentral:rRNA from 1 species